GUGCCACCCAGCGCUGCAGAGAGCUGCAUGCUCGGUCGAAGAGGAUGACCUUCCCCGAUAGAGGAGAGGACCAUUCUUCAGUCAAGGGUAUACGAGUAGCUGCGCUCCCCUGCUAGA